rnacentral:rRNA from 1 species
UGUAAAGCUCUUUCGACGAGUCGAGUUGUUUGGGAAUGCAGCUCAAAAUGGGUGGUAUAUUUCAUCUAAAGCUAAAUAUUGGCCAGAGACCGAUAGCGCACAAGUAGAGUGAUCGAAAGAUGAAAAGCACUUUGGAAAGAGAGUUAAACAGUACGUGAAAUUGUUGAAAGGGAAGCGCUUGCAACCAGACUUGCAGGCGGUCGAUCAUCCGAGGUUCUCCCCGGUGCACUCGAUCGUCUUCAGGCCAGCAUCGGUUUUGGUGGCGGGAUAAAGGCUCUAGGAAUGUGGCUCUUCGGAGUGUUAUAGCCUAGGGUGCAAUGCCGCCUACCGGGACCGAGGACCGCGCUUCGGCUAGGAUGCUGGCGUAAUGGUUGUAAGCGGCCCGUCUUGAAACACGGACCAAGGAGUCUAACAUCUAUGCGAGUGUUUGGGUGUCAAACCCAUACGCGUAAUGAAAGUGAACGGAGGUGAGAGCCCUUUAGGGCGCAUCAUCGACCGAUCCUGAUGUCUUCGGAUGGAUUUGAGUAAGAGCAUAGCUGUUGGGACCCGAAAGAUGGUGAACUAUGCGUGAAUAGGGUGAAGCCAGAGGAAACUCUGGUGGAGGCUCGCAGCGGUUCUGACGUGCAAAUCGAUCGUCAAAUUUGCGUAUAGGGGCGAAAGACUAAUCG